rnacentral:rRNA from 1 species
CCUACGGGUGGCAGCAGUGAGGAAUAUUGGUCAAUGGGCGCGAGCCUGAACCAGCCAAGUCGCGUGAGGGAAGACGGCCCUACGGAUUGUAAACUUCUUUUGUAGGGGAGUAAAAUAAGACACGUGUGCUGUUUUGAGUGUACUUGAUGAAUAAGCAUCGGCUAACUCCGUGCCAGCAGCCGCGGUAAUAAGGAGGAUCCGAGCGUUAUCCGGAUUUAUUGGGUUUAAAGGGAGCGUAGGUGGGAAGUUAAGUCAGUUGGGAAAGUGUGGGGCUCAACCGUAUAAUAGCCAUUGAUACUGGUUGUCUUGAGUACAGGAGAGGUAGGCGGAAUUCGUGGUGUAGCGGUGAAAUGCUUAGAUAUCACGAAGAACUCCGAUUGCGAAGGCAGCUUAC